rnacentral:rRNA from 1 species
GCGGCACGCCUAACACAUGCAAGUCGAACGAAGUAGCAAUACUUAGUGGCAGACGGGUGAGUAACAUGUAGGUAUCUGCCCUUUGGCCUGGAAUAACACGAGGAAACUUGUGCUAAUACCGGAUAAGUCUUUACGGAGAAAGCUUUAUGCACCAUUGGAUGAGCCUGCACUUGAUUAGUUUGUUGGUGGGGUAAUGGCCUACCAAGACUGUGAUCAAUAGCUGAUUUGAGAGGAUGAUCAGCCACAUUGGGANUGAGACACGGCCCAAACUCCUACGGGAGGCAGCAGUGGGGAAUCUUGCACAAUGGAGGAAACUCUGAUGCAGCGAUGCCGCGUGAGUGAAGAAGGCCUUUGGGUUGUAAAGCUCUUUCGUCGGGGAAGAAAAUGACUGUACCCGAAUAAGAAGGUCCGGCUAACUUCGUGCCAGCAGCCGCGGUAAUACGAAGGGACCUAGCGUAGUUCGGAAUUACUGGGCUUAAAGAGUUCGUAGGUGGUUGAAAAAGUUGGUGGUGAAAUCCCAGAGCUUAACUCUGGAACUGCCAUCAAAACUUUUCAGCUAGAGUAUGAUAGAGGAAAGCAGAAUUUCUAGUGUAGAGGUGAAAUUCGUAGAUAUUAGAAAGAAUACCAAUUGCGAAGGCAGCUUUCUGGAUCAUUACUGACACUGAGGAACGAAAGCAUGGGUAGCGAAGAGGAUUAGAUACCCUCGUAGUCCAUGCCGUAAACGAUGUGUGUUAGACGUUGGAAAUUUAUUUUCAGUGUCGCAGGAAAACCGAUAAACACACCGCCUGGGGAGUACGACCGCAAGGUUAAAACUCAAAUGAAUUGACGGGGACCCGCACAAGUAGUGGAGCAUGUGGUUUAAUUCGAAGAUACGCGCAGAACCUUACCAACACUUGACAUGUUCGUCGCGACUCUAAGAGAUUAGAGUUUUCGGUUCGGCCGGACGAAACACAGGUGCUGCAUGGCUGUCGUCAGCUCGUGUCGUGAGAUGUUGGGUUAAGUCCCGCAACGAGCGCAACCCUCACUUUUAGUUGCCAUCAUUAAGUUGGGCACUCUGAAAGAACUGCCAGUGAUAAGCUGGAGGAAGGUGGGGAUGACGUCAAGUCCUCAUGGCCCUUACGUGUUGGGCUACACACGUGCUACAAUGGUAUCUACAACAGGAAGCAAAACUGCGAAGUUAAGCAAAUCCCUAAAAGAUACCUCAGUUCGGAUUGCACUCUGCAACUCGAGUGCAUGAAGCUGGAAUUACUAGUAAUCGUGGAUCAGCGUGCCACGGUGAAUGCGUUCCCGGGUCUUGUACACACCGCCCGUCACACCAUGGGAGUUGGUUCUACCUUAAGGCAAGGUUU